GUUUCUUCGGAAACCUUGGCGGUCUGCUCAGUAACACGUGGAUAACCUACCCUUGGGACUGGAAUAACCCCGGGAAACUGGGGAUAAUACCGGAUAGAUCAGGGAUGCUGGAAUGCACCUUGAUCCAAAGCUCCGGCGCCCAAGGAUGGGUCUGCGGCCGAUCAGGUAGUAGUGGGUGUAACGUACCUACUAGCCAACGACGGGUACGGGUUGUGAGAGCAAGAGCCCGGAGAUGGAUUCUGAGACACGAAUCCAGGCCCUACGGGGUGCAGCAGGCGCGAAACCUUUACAAUGUGCGAAAGCAUGAUAAGGGAACUCCGAGUGCCAGCAUCUAAUGUUGGCUGUCCUUGUGCCUAAAACGCACAAGAUAGCAAGGGCCGGGUAAGACCGGUGCCAGCCGCCGCGGUAACACCGGCGGCCCGAGUGGUAGCCGCUAUUAUUGGGUCUAAAGGGUCCGUAGCCGGUUCGAUAAGUCCUCUGGGAAAUCUGGUUGCUUAACAAUCAGACUGCCAAGGGAUACUGUCGAACUUGAGACCGGGUAGAGGUAAGAGGUACUUCAGGGGUAGGAGUGAAAUCUUGUAAUCCCUGGGGGACCAUCUGUGGCGAAGGCGUCUUACCAGAACGGGUCUGACGGUGAGGGACGAAAGCUGGGGGCGCAAACCGGAUUAGAUACCCGGGUAGUCCCAGCCGUAAACGAUGCUCGCUAUGUGUCA
rnacentral:rRNA from 1 species